UCUGAUUAGCUAGUUGGUAGGGUAAAAGCCUACCAAGGCAUCGAUCAGUAACUGGUCUGAGAGGAUGACCAGUCACACUGGGACUGAGACACGGCCCAGACUCCUACGGGAGGCAGCAGUGGGGAAUUUUCCGCAAUGGGCGAAAGCCUGACGGAGCAAUACCGCGUGAGGGAGGAAGGCUCUUGGGUUGUAAACCUCUUUUCUCAGGGAAGAAGAUCUGACGGUACCUGAGGAAUCAGCAUCGGCUAACUCCGUGCCAGCAGCCGCGGUAAUACGGAGGAUGCAAGCGUUAUCCGGAAUGAUUGGGCGUAAAGCGUCCGCAGGUGGCUGCUUCAAGUCUGCUGUCAAAGCUCAGGGCUUAACCCUGAAUCGGCGGUGGAAACUGAACAGCUAGAGUGCGGUAGGGGCAGAGGGAAUUCCCAGUGUAGCGGUGAAAUGCGUAGAGAUUGGGAAGAACACCGGUGGCGAAAGCGCUCUGCUGGACCGCAGCUGACACUCAUGGACGAAAGCUAGGGGAGCGAAUGGGAUUAGAUACCCCAGUAGUCCUAGCCGU
rnacentral:rRNA from 1 species